rnacentral:rRNA from 1 species
AUGGGAACGCGAAGAACCUUACCUACUCUUGACAUCCAGAGAACUUUCCAGAGAUGGAUUGGUGCCUUCGGGAACUCUGAGACAGGUGCUGCAUGGCUGUCGUCAGCUCGUGUUGUGAAAUGUUGGGUUAAAUCCCGCAACGAGCGCAACCCGUUAUCCUUUGUUGCCAGCGGUCCGGCCGGGAACUCAAAGGAGACUGCCAGUGAUAAACUGAGGAAGGUGGGGAUGACGUCAAGUCAUCAUGGCCCUUACGAGUAGGGCUACACACGUGCUACAAUGGCGCAUACAAAGAGAAGCGACCUCGCGAGAGCAAGCGGACCUCAUAAAGUGCGUCGUAGUCCGGAUUGGAGUCUGCAACUCGACUCCAUGAAGUCGGAAUCGCUAGUAAUCGUAGAUCGAGAAUGCUACGGUGAAUACG